UGGCGUUCAGUCAGUGUAUUUUAUGGGUUUCUGCGUCCCCUUGAGAUAGAAUUACAGGAAGGGGUACAGGGAGGUGAAGGGGGCCUCCUGGCUCCUAGGACUCUGUGUCAUUUCCUCCUGUAGACCUCAAGAUUCUCAAUGACCUGGAGGCUCUGAGAGGCUAUCAUCACUUUUUUUUGUAAGCACAAUUAGGUCCUCUUUAGGAUGAAGAGAGGAACGCUGCUCUGAGCAGACUGCUACCCUGAUGGGGAACACCAUCACCCAGAGGUGAGCGGCAAUACAGCCUUCUUACGGAGCACCUGCACCCUGACCUGCUAGUGAUGUGAAAGUGUCGAGGAAAGAAACUUCUCAAAGAAGAAUGGAAAUCCCACCCUGUAUUACACAGCAAAGAGCACUGGUUUUGGAGCCAUGUGACCCUGGAUGGACCCUCAACUCCACCACUUACCGCUGCACGACCUUGGAUACCUCCCCUGUGCAGGACAGUUCCCCAGUGUCUGGACAGUGAAUCCAUCUGUAAUCUACGCUAACUGUUUGUUCCCACUCAGCCCUUUGAUGUCCACGCUCUCCACCACCCUCCCCCUUCUCAUUCUGCAUCCUCUUGGGAGGGAACCUCACCCAUGCCUGUGGCCGUAACUGCCAGCUAACAAUGAUGACUUAUUAACAUCAGUUAAAACAAUUGAUGCUUUUGAACUGUGGUGUUGGAGAAGACUCUUGAGAGUCGCUUGGACUGCAAGGAGAUCAAACGAGUCAAUCCUAAAGGAAACCAACCCUG